CUAUCGACAGGCUUAACACAUGCAAGUCGAGGGGCAGCACAGGUAGUAAUACCGGGUGGCGACCGGCGCACGGGUGAGUAACGCGUAUGCAACUUACCUAUCAGAGGGGGAUAACCCGGCGAAAGUCGGACUAAUACCGCAUGAAGCAGGGGCCCCGCAUGGGGAUAUUUGCUAAAGAUUCAUCGCUGAUAGAUAGGCAUGCGUUCCAUUAGGCAGUUGGCGGGGUAACGGCCCACCAAACCGACGAUGGAUAGGGGUUCUGAGAGGAAGGUCCCCCACAUUGGUACUGAGACACGGACCAAACUCCUACGGGAGGUAGCAGUGAGGAAUAUUGGUCAAUGGCCGAGAGGCUGAACCAGCCAAGUCGCGUGAGGGAUGAAGGUUCUAUGGAUCGUAAACCUCUUUUAUAAGGGAAUAAAGUGCGGGACGUGUCCCGUUUUGUAUGUACCUUAUGAAUAAGGAUCGGCUAACUCCGUGCCAGCAGCCGCGGUAAUACGGAGGAUCCGAGCGUUAUCCGGAUUUAUUGGGUUUAAAGGGUGCGUAGGCGGCCUUUUAAGUCAGCGGUGAAAGUCUGUGGCUCAACCAUAGAAUUGCCGUUGAAACUGGGGGGCUUGAGUAUGUUUGAGGCAGGCGGAAUGCGUGGUGUAGCGGUGAAAUGCAUAGAUAUCACGCAGAACCCCGAUUGCGAAGGCAGCCUGCCAAGCCAUUACUGACGCUGAUGCACGAAAGCGUGGGGAUCAAACAGGAUUAGAUACCCUGGUAGUCCACGCAGUAAACGAUGAUCACUAGCUGUUUGCGAUACACUGUAAGCGGCACAGCGAAAGCGUUAAGUGAUCCACCUGGGGAGUACGCCGGCAACGGUGAAACUCAAAGGAAUUGACGGGGGCCCGCACAAGCGGAGGAACAUGUGGUUUAAUUCGAUGAUACGCGAGGAACCUUACCCGGGUUUGAACGCAUUCGGACCGAGGUGGAAACACCUUUUCUAGCAAUAGCCGUUUGCGAGGUGCUGCAUGGUUGUCGUCAGCUCGUGCCGUGAGGUGUCGGCUUAAGUGCCAUAACGAGCGCAACCCUUGCCACUAGUUACUAACAGGUGAUGCUGAGGACUCUGGUGGGACUGCCAGCGUAAGCUGCGAGGAAGGCGGGGAUGACGUCAAAUCAGCACGGCCCUUACAUCCGGGGCGACACACGUGUUACAAUGGCGUGGACAAAGGGAGGCCACCUGGCGACAGGGAGCGAAUCCCCAAACCACGUCUCAGUUCGGAUCGGAGUCUGCAACCCGACUCCGUGAAGCUGGAUUCGCUAGUAAUCGCGCAUCAGCCAUGGCGCGGUGAAUACGUUCCCGGGCCUUGUACACACCGCCCGUCAAGCCAUGGGAGCCGGGGGUACCUGAAGUCCGUAACCGAAAGGAUCGGCCUAGGGUAAAACUGGUGACUGGG
rnacentral:rRNA from 1 species